GCGAGCGGCGGACGGGUGAGUAACACGUGGGUAACCUGCCCAAGAGACUGGGAUAACACCUGGAAACAGAUGCUAAUACCGGAUAACAACACUAGACGCAUGUCUAGAGUUUAAAAGAUGGUUCUGCUAUCACUCUUGGAUGGACCUGCGGUGCAUUAGCUAGUUGGUAAGGCAACGGCUUACCAAGGCAAUGAUGCAUAGCCGAGUUGAGAGACUGAUCGGCCACAUUGGGACUGAGACACGGCCCAAACUCCUACGGGAGGCAGCAGUAGGGAAUCUUCCACAAUGGACGCAAGUCUGAUGGAGCAACGCCGCGUGAGUGAAGAAGGGUUUCGGCUCGUAAAGCUCUGUUGGUAGUGAAGAAAGAUAGAGGUAGUAACUGGCCUUUAUUUGACGGUAAUUACUUAGAAAGUCACGGCUAACUACGUGCCAGCAGCCGCGGUAAUACGUAGGUGGCAAGCGUUGUCCGGAUUUAUUGGGCGUAAAGCGAGUGCAGGCGGUUCAAUAAGUCUGAUGUGAAAGCCUUCGGCUCAACCGGAGAAUUGCAUCAGAAACUGUUGAACUUGAGUGCAGAAGAGGAGAGUGGAACUCCAUGUGUAGCGGUGGAAUGCGUAGAUAUAUGGAAGAACACCAGUGGCGAAGGCGGCUCUCUGGUCUGCAACUGACGCUGAGGCUCGAAAGCAUGGGUAGCGAACAGGAUUAGAUACCCUGGUAGUCCAUGCCGUAAACGAUGAGUGCUAAGUGUUGGGAGGUUUCCGCCUCUCAGUGCUGCAGCUAACGCAUUAAGCACUCCGCCUGGGGAGUACGACCGCAAGGUUGAAACUCAAAGGAAUUGACGGGGGCCCGCACAAGCGGUGGAGCAUGUGGUUUAAUUCGAAGCAACGCGAAGAACCUUACCAGGUCUUGACAUCCAGUGCAAACCUAAGAGAUUAGGAGUUCCCUUCGGGGACGCUGAGACAGGUGGUGCAUGGCUGUCGUCAGCUCGUGUCGUGAGAUGUUGGGUUAAGUCCCGCAACGAGCGCAACCCUUGUCAUUAGUUGCCAUCAUUAAGUUGGGCACUCUAAUGAGACUGCCGGUGACAAACCGGAGGAAGGUGGGGAUGACGUCAAGUCAUCAUGCCCCUUAUGACCUGGGCUACACACGUGCUACAAUGGACGGUACAACGAGAAGCGAACCUGCGAAGGCAAGCGGAUCUCUGAAAGCCGUUCUCAGUUCGGACUGUAGGCUGCAACUCGCCUACACGAAGCUGGAAUCGCUAGUAAUCGCGGAUCAGCACGCCGCGGUGAAUACGUUCCCGGGCCUUGUACACACCGCCC
rnacentral:rRNA from 1 species